GUCUUUUGAGUAUAGUAAGUACACUUGCCUUCCAAGCAAGAGGAUUAAAAAAAAUUUAAAAAAGAUAAAUAAUUU
rnacentral:tRNA from 1 species